rnacentral:rRNA from 1 species
AGAACGAACGCUGGCGGCAUGCCUAAUACAUGCAAGUCGAACGAACUCUUCGGAGUUAGUGGCGCACGGGUGCGUAACGCGUGGGAAUCUGCCCCUUGGUUCGGAAUAACAGUUGGAAACGACUGCUAAUACCGGAUGAUGACGAAAGUCCAAAGAUUUAUCGCCAAGGGAUGAGCCCGCGUAGGAUUAGCUAGUUGGUGAGGUAAAGGCUCACCAAGGCAACGAUCCUUAGCUGGUCUGAGAGGAUGAUCAGCCACACUGGGACUGAGACACGGCCCAGACUCCUACGGGAGGCAGCAGUGGGGAAUUUGGGACAAUGGGCGCAAGCCUGAUCCAGCAAUGCCGCGUGCAGGAAGAAGGCCUUCGGUUGUAAACUGCUUUUGUACGGAACGAAACGGUCCUGGUUAAUACCUGGGCUAAGUGACGGUACCGUAAGAAUAAGACACCGGCUAACUACGUGCCAGCAGCCGC